GGACGUGUCAUAGCUUAGUGGCAGAGCACCUGCUUUGCGUGCAGAUGGUCCCAGGGUUCAAAUCCCGGCACCUCCA